CAGGGCUCAUAACCUGUUAAACUCAGGGCUGUGAAGAUAGGAGGUCCGACUGUAAGUCAAACAAAGAGAGAUCUUCAGUCAGUGAGCGAACGACUAUAUUGUAAGUUACCAAGUACCUGUAAGUCAAACAAAGAGAGACUAAGGUAAAGUCAGUAACUACAAGUUAGAGAUAGGUAUGUAAGGGACUUACUCUUCAGUCAGU
rnacentral:lncRNA from 1 species